ensembl:lncRNA
CUCAAACCUUCUGAACUUCACUUGCAAAGCUUGGUUUGAAAGCUGGCUCUGCGUUAAGUACAUUGUUAGUAAUGUUGGCAGCAGUUACACUGCAAGAUACAAUCAGUUGGGCUUGACACAAAACUCACUUAAGUAUUCCUGAAGAGAAGCUGCAGAACAUGCAAGCUGUCAGAUAAAGGGAAGGUGGGAGAGGAAACUUGAAUUGAUCUUCUGUUGUAAGGUACUGUAACAUUUGUCUGCUAGUCAAAGACCUAGAACUCUGUGUCUGGCCUUGCAGCAAGUCUACGUCAUGGUGGCUAGCACUGUGUGCACAACGUAGUGUGAGAUUCUUCCUAGAGAAGCCUUAUGUCACCUGCUACAAGGGCAGGUAGAUUUUACAGGCGCAGUAUGGGUGAAGUGUGCCAGAGUCAUGGCAUUGCUGUAAAUGCCAGAGCUCUUAAUGAAAUGUGCAUAUCUGGUAUGGCAUACGUACAGAUAAUUCUGCUCUGUGUUAGAUGUUUUGAGUUGAGAUAUAUAACUGUACACUGAUUACAAGCUGUGCAAUUCACAACUCCAUGUUUGUCCUUGCAGUGGAACUGCACUGUGGCCUAUCACCAGUUUGGCCCUAUACAGGACCCCAGUACUGAGUGAGUAAGGUAGGUAUGUUCAAGGAAAAGUGAAGAAAAUACCAAAACCAUCUAGAGUGAUGAACUAAUAACAUCUUGUUUCCAUAAAACCCUUACCUUCCUCUACCAUUUAGCUUUGCACAGGCUUCAGUUAUUUAAUCACAAUUGUUAUUAUCCUUGCGUGAUCUUUGAACUAUUACCCGAUCCUGCCCCCUUGUCAGAUAUUCUUAAUUUUACAAACAGUAAACUUUCUGCUAUAUUUUGUCCCCUAAUAAGAGAUUGGUUCCCUUCUCACACCAGCCUUUUUGUGAGUAAUAAAAGCUGCCUUUACUGCACAGUUUUGCCAUCCCAUGAUCCUGAGAUUGAAGAGUCUGGCAGCAAUGGAAGGUGGUUAAGAAAACGUCUGCUCCCAAAAGGACAGGUAUGUGAUUUACUGUUGUGCUUGGGCUGCGGCAGUUAGCAGUCUGAUGUUUAACCUUGCUGUUGGCUAACUUCUGUAGGCACAACCACAUGGUCCACAGUGAUUUUGAUAUAAAGCUUUGGUUAUGCAAAGUCAGCCACUGUCUUUUUUGGAAUUAAAAAAAGAGGAAGACAAAGUGAGGAACUCUUUUUCAUGAGAAUGUUAUGUCAUUCACAUCACCUUAACCCACUGAUGACCUUAAGGGAAGAAAAUGAAAAAGUCACUUAAUAUAUAAAUUCUUAUGUUCUUGGCAGUAGAAUUUGCUUUGCAAAUAUGAGCAUUUGGCAAGUUUCUACGUUUUCCUCAGCAAAACUGAAAUGAAAGCUGAGGAAGGGAAUAAAAAUUGAAUUGUGCUGACCCAAACACAUACUUCCUGAAAUCAACAGGAUUUACAUACAUUAGCAGAAGAGAAAGAGCUCAGAACUACCUUCCUAAAAAAAAAAAAAAAAAAAAAAAAAAAAAAAGCACUGCAUUUAUUUCAUGAAGUUUAAAAAAGGUCCCUCAUUUGAAAGAAAAAAAGGGAAAAGCAGCAUAAAUUAAACUACAUACACUGUAUUGCACCUAACUUUUUCUGGUAAAGGGAAGUAGGCAGAUGAUAGGAAGUCAUGUAUUUUUGCUUGUGCAUUUAUGUGCAGAGAUAUAUGGAUGUGUACAGAUAUUUAAGUGUUUUUUAACAGCUACAGGACUCCAGCAUGCAUCUCCAGGUGCAUGUGAGCUAUCUGAACCCUUCAGAUUUUAUUGCAUAACACAGACAUGUUGCAAAAUAUUACCACACCAAGAUCAUUUACAUUAUUUCAUAACGAAAAAGAAGUGCUAUUACAGAACAUUUUUACCCUUAAGGGAAAAUUACUAAUUAUUUAAAACAUUGUCUGUGUGUUUGUGUGUGGUGUAUAGGGCUAUAUGAGCCUCAUUAUGGAAAAAUCCAGGGGUGGAUUAAAGCAGGAUCUGUGGGAUACAGCCUAAGGUCAGAGGAGUUUCAACAGACAAGAAUGUCAAAAGCAAAGCAGAAAAUGACAGCACAGUUGAUUGUAGUGAUUGGGGUGAUACAGACACAUACCUUCAGGGAAAAACAGCUCUUCAGAAAUGGGAACAGCUGUGUAAGACUGUCUUAGGCCUGAUCAGGAAGCAGGUGACAUCCAGAAGCAGAGCAGGGUAGGAGGCAGGUGUUUUGGCCUCAGAAUGGAAUCCGGAAACCUCUGUUAAGCUUCUACAUUCUUUGAACAGACAGGGUUUCUUUCUCAAUAUCCUACUGAGUAAUCUUAUGAUAUACUGAAGACUGUCUGCAAAUUGCAUGGAACCCCACCAGUAGAAGACAGUGUGUGGUGUAUUAGCGUGGAGAGUUUGCCCAUGACCUUUCUCAUCUUUCCACUAUCCAAAUUUGACAGGGCAAGUAUACCACAUCUUUCUCUUCCCAUAAACUCAAGUGUACCUCAGCAGGUAGGACAGAAGGCAGAGCUCCAAGUUUGGUAACCCUGGGUUCCCAAACUACUAAUCAAGAAGCUUUGAUGAAGAACACACUUGCAACUGCAGCUGAUCAUCAAGUGGAAAUUAAUUUGUGAAUGACUGAAGGCAGCAGCAAUUUAGAGGCGCAGCAACUGAGAGAUAAGUGCCAGCACAUCUACCCGCACAAUACCUUUUCUCUGACUGUCUCCUCUUUGAACCUGGAAGUGAAUUUGAAUGUUACAUGUGACUUGUCUAGCAUUAUCGCUGAGUACGGUAUCUUCCAUCAAAGCCAAGGCUGGUGGCAGUAGUUCAUGCUUCCCUGAGUAGCUCUGCUCACUGUGCUACAGCUCUACCGCUGGGGGUGAAAUGACUUUAACCCUUAAAAUAAACUUAAAUAAAAUUUCGUAGGACUCGGG